rnacentral:tRNA from 1 species
GCCGGCGUAGCUCAGUUGGUAGAGCGGCUGAUUCGUAAUCAGCAGGUCCGCGGUUCAAGCCCGCGCGCCGGCUCCA